GACGAACGCUGGCGGCGUGCUUAACACAUGCAAGUCGAACGCUGAAGCUCAGCUUUUGUUGGGUGGAUGAGUGGCGAACGGGUGAGUAACACGUGAGUAACCUGCCCCCUUCUUUGGGGUAACGCCCGGAAACGGGUGCUAAUACUGGAUAUUCACUGGUCUUCGCAUGGGGGUUGGUGGAAAGGGUUUUUCUGGUGGGGGAUGGGCUCGCGGCCUAUCAGCUUGUUGGUGGGGUGAUGGCCUACCAAGGCUUUGACGGGUAGCCGGCCUGAGAGGGUGACCGGUCACAUUGGGACUGAGCUACGGCCCAGACUCCUACGGGGGGCAGCAGUGGGGAAUAUUGCACAAUGGGCGCAAGCCUGAUGCAGCGACGCCGCGUGAGGGAUGGCGGCCUUCGGGUUGUGAACCUCUUUCGCUCAUGGUCAAGCCGCAACAAUGGUUGUGGUGAGGGUAGUGGGUAAAGAAGCGCCGGCUAACUACGUG
rnacentral:rRNA from 1 species